UACGGGGGGGGCAAGCGUUGUUCGGAAUUACUGGGCGUAAAGGGCUCGUAGGCGGCCAACUAAGUCGGACGUGAAAUCCCCAGGCUCAACCUGGGAACUGCGUCCGAUACUGGAUGGCUUGAAUUCGGGAGAGGGAUGCAGAAUUCCAGGUGUAGCGGUGAAAUGCGUAGAUAUCUGGAGGAAUACCGGUGGCGAAGGCGGGAUCCUGGGCCAGUACUGACGCUGAGGAGCGAAAGCGUGGGGAGCAAACAGG
rnacentral:rRNA from 1 species